rnacentral:lncRNA from 1 species
AUGAGUUAUGAGUAUGAAGAAUACAAUUUUGCUACCUUUACCUGUUUUUCAUCCUAGUCCCAGUUCCAGAGCCAGACGCUCAGCUGGCCUCCACCUUUCCUCCAACGUUUGUGAAAGAAUGUCUUGGAACUUGGUUCUGCAGUGCAGUUUCACCUCAGCUUUACUGCCGUUCCAACAAGAUGUGACUUGGUACAGAGACGGGCUGGUGUUGUUGCGUCAGUCCAGUCGUGUGGAGCUGCAGACGGGUCUGCGAUCUGCCAGUCUCAGCCUGAAGCGAGUGCACAAGGAACAUGAAGGCCUGUACAGCAUCCGUCUGUGCACCUGGGACGGGACCGUCGGGCACAGCUCCUACGUCUAUGUCAAAGAACAAUAGUCAACCAGGCAGGCGUGGGCCGCCCGUUUAAACCCACCGACCCCGUCCUGACCUCUGAACCCCUGGAGCCCAGCAGGACUACGGGUAAGAGCGUCUACAUGAGUUCUGAAUAAAGUCUUUUCUAUGAUACUAGCAGCA